rnacentral:rRNA from 1 species
AUUGAACGCUGGCGGCAGGCCUAACACAUGCAAGUCGAGCGGCAGCGGAAAGUAGCUUGCUACUUUGCCGGCGAGCGGCGGACGGGUGAGUAAUGUCUGGGAAACUGCCUGAUGGAGGGGGAUAACUACUGGAGACGGUAGCUAAUACCGCAUAGCGUCGCAAGACCAAAGAGGGGGACCUUCGGGCCUCUUGCCAUCAGAUGUGCCCAGAUGGGAUUAGCUAGUAGGUGGGGUAACGGCUCACCUAGGCGGCGAUCCCUAGCUGGGCUGAGAGGAUGACCAGCCACACUGGAACUGAGACACGGUCCAGACUCCUACGGGAGGCAGCAGGGGGGAAUAUUGCACAAUGGGCGCAAGCCUGAUGCAGCCAUGCCGCGUGUAUGAAGAAGGCCUUCGGGUUGUAAAGUACUUUCAGCGGGGAGGAGGGUGUUGAGGUUAAUAACCUCAGCAAUUGACGUUACCCGCAGAAGAAGCACCGGCUAACUCCGUGCCAGCAGCCGCCGCAGUAA